CCCCCAUCUUUUUCCCUCCCUCGUCGCUCCUCGUUCCUGUCGUUCCUAAGUUUCCUUCUUCUCGUUCGAUCAUACUAUUUACUUAAUCCCCGAUUCCCCCCGUCCUCCCCUUCCCAGGUCACCGAAACCCUAGUGGAAUCAACGCCGAUGGCCGCCAUGGAGCCUCCGCCCGCCGCCGAACCCGAGCUCGUCCUCUUCUUCGGCAGCUCGUCUUUCCAGGAUCCCGAUAUCGUGGAGGUCUCGCCGUCGGCCUGCACCUCCAGCCCGCCGAAGCCGAAGCGGAGCCAGGCGCUGGUUGUUCCUCAUGUUGUAAUUGAGCUUGUUGGAGAUGAUGAUGGUGUUGUGUCAAUCGGUGAAAGCACUUCAGACUACAAGAACAAAGAAGCUGUCAGAAAUGAUAAAAGCUGUCCAAAGCAACUGAAGGAUGCCUUGCUCAAUGACCUUAUGAGUUCGAGUGCAAAUAAUGAUUCUGAACAUGUCGCACCACUGGAUAAUUUAAAGAGCUAUGAGGCAGGACAACUGGAUCUUAAAUAUUAUGAUGAUGUAGAAUAUGAUUAUGCUUAUGAUGAUGAAUAUGACUACGAAUAUGAUGCUGAAGAUAUUGAAAAUGAUUUUGAUCUUAAUUUGGCUGCUAAAUUUGAUGAUCUGGACCUGCCAACUGGCAUUGAGUUAACUGUACCAUGGCUGGAAGUUCCUGCUACCAAAGAGCUAAGCAAGAACAAGGACAAGAUAGUGAUUGAAGAUGAAAUUGAUGUGAAAUAUAGAUCAUUUAAACAACUUGAUACUGUUCAGGAUCAUGAAGAUCAUUAUUUCAGCAGACCAGAUCUUCUAAAAGCUAUUCCAUCUACUAAAAAGCCUUCAAAAGAUUGGUCAAAGAGGAUUCAGCAUGAGUGGAAGGUCUUAGAAAAAGAUCUACCUGAGAUGAUAUAUGUUAGAAUUUAUGAGGGUAGGAUGGACAUUCUAAGGGCUGUUAUAAUUGGACCACCUGGAACUCCAUAUCAUGAUGGCCUUUUCUUCUUCGACACUUACUUUCCUCCGAACUAUCCCCAAACCCCUCCGAUGGUUCAUUAUCAUUCUGGUGGGCUCAGACUAAACCCAAACUUGUAUGCUUGUGGGAAGGUUUGCCUUAGCCUUCUGAAUACAUGGCCUGGCAGUGGAUGCGAAACAUGGAAUCCAUUAAAUUCAACAAUGCUGCAGGUCUUGAUCUCUAUUCAGGCUCUUGUUCUCAAUACCAAGCCAUACUUCAAUGAGCCAGGAUAUGCACAAACAGCUAAUACAGAUCAUGGGGAGAAGGAAUCUCUGAUGUAUAAUGAGAAUACUUUUCUCUUGUCAUGCAAAACAAUGUUAUAUUCACUAAGGAAGCCUCCAACGAUUUCUACCAUGUUCUGAUUACAGCAUUUUGACGACUUUGUGGCUGGACAUUUCCGAAAUCGUGGGCAUAUGAUUCUUGUGGCAUGCAAAGCCUACAUGGGUGGUGCACAAGUCGGAUGUGUUGUUGGUGAAGGCGUGCAUGAUGUUAGUAAGGGUGAUAAGAGUUGCUCACCAGCAUUCAAGAGUUCCCUAGAGAAAUUAUUUGAGGAUCUUCUGAUGGAGUUUGCUGUCAAAGGGGUUGACUGCGUUGAAUUUCUGCCUCAGAAGGCUAAAGUUGGAAUAGCCAACACAGCCGAUACUACUUUAUGCCGGCCGGCCUCCCUCUUCUCCCACUCCCCCGUCAUUCUCACCCUCGUCCUGCCUCCCUGCGCGCUCGCAGCUUCGCCCAUGGCGACGACUUCCUCUUCCCCUCUCGUUAGGGUUUCUCCCAUCUCCUCCGUAAUUCUACUCGCCCUCGUCCUCUCCUCCUCCGCCUCCUCCUCCCCGAUCUCGUACGCCGACCACUGCGCCACGGUCGUCGCGGAAUCCCCCACCACAGGCCACUCCUUGGACGCCACCGCCUUUCGUCUCUCCACCGGUAUCUUCUCCGGCGCCGACGCCUUCUUCGGCGGAAGCGACCGCUCCAGAUCCUUCUUCUUCCGUCGCCGGUCCAUCCUCCCCACCCAGACCCCCGGCGUCCUCCAGAUCAUAGCGACCCUCACCCUCCGCUCCGGCGCCGGUUUCCACCACAUCCGAGGCCGGCACGUACUUGAUCGCUCCGCUGGCGAGUUCCAUCAUGUCCGGCCUCGGAUCCCUCGGACAUUCCCCCAGCGCGGAAUGGUUAGCUUCGAUCUCUCCGGAUACUGGUCUGAGGCCGCUGGGAAGCUUUGCAUGGUGGGGACCGGCCAUGGCCGAUCGCUUGAAGGUGAACCUCUACAGGUUUCUGCUGUCCUAAUGCUCGAUUACCCAAAGAUUACAGACAUCUAUUCGAGCUUGAUUAGUGGGAAUUUGGAGAACUUGGAUGCCGUCGGUAGCUCGAAUCAUUUCGACCCCAUUGCUAUCUUAGCGUAUGCACCGGGGAAUUACGCGUACACACAGAUAUCUCAUGCACAGAAAUCAUGUGCUCGUCUAAAUGCUGUGGAGUCGCUACGGCUUGAGUCUGCUUCUUUCUGCUACUACAUGCAGAGUCUUUCAAGGGUGCGGUUUGAGUUGGAUUUGGGGAAGAAUUGCUCAUCUGGAUUUUGUAGCCCAUUUGCUGAGAUCUCAGAAUCUACUCUAGGUUUCAUGUCUUUCAAUCAAAUACAAUGUUCUGGUGAUGGAAAGUUUCAUAUGUAUAUCGGAUUCUCCAAUACCAGUAGCUUUUACUUUGGCAGUCUCUUGAUCCCCGGGAAGGCGCUGGUUGGUGAAGGGGCUUGGGAUCCUCAGAAGAACCGGCUUUGCCUUGUUGCGUGUCAUGUAAGGAGCUUGAACGAUUCUUUGUCGAGAUCUACUGUUGAUGAUUGCACAAUUAGGAUUUGCUUGUGGUUCCCUGCUGUAUGGUCGAUUGAGAGUCGGUAUACUGCUGCCGGGCGUAUUUGGAGUGACAACAAGGAGAAUGAUUCUGGCUCUUUUGACGCAGUCUCAUUCUGGAGCACUGACCGUUAUAUGGGUUCUCUUCCUGGCUUGAAGUACAAUUACACUAGGACAGAAGUUGUGAAGAAGUCUUGUGCAAAUGACAGUUCCAGAAGUGUGGGAAAAAGGACAUAUCCUGAUGCAAAUGCUUUUCGUGAUUUUAGAUUUCAUGUGUCUGUGAAAAAUUCUGAAGGAAAGACGACAUGGGGGGACUUCACCCCAGUUUCAAUUGGCCAGAUGAUUUAUGGUAAUUUGUUUGGAUCCAAUGUAGAUACUAUGCCCUCAGUUAGCGAGGAGCAUCGCAGCCUUCACAAUGUGAGCUAUGGGAUACACUUUACGUUUCCAAAUGCAUCUUCAAGUAUGAAUGAAGCAGAAAAGAUCUCAGCAGAAGGAAUAUACAAUGCUCAAACUGGGUUUCUUUGCUUGGUUGGUUGUCGGCAUAUAGGCUCCUUGGCUGGUAAGAAGGAAGCGAAACAAGGUGAGUCCAUGGACUGUGGAAUUGUUAUCAACAUACAACUUGCUCCUUUGAAUCCCAAAGUGGGGGAGCAACUUAAUGGAACAAUUAGGAGCACACGAGACAAGUUGGACCCGCUUUUCUUUGAACAUCUGGAGAUUACUUCAUUAACUAUCUACAGGAACCAGGCAAUUCAAUCUAUGUGGAGGAUGGAUAUAGAAAUUAUCAUGGUUUUGGUCUCUCUGACACUUUCGUGCAUUUUCAUUGGAUUGCAGCUCUUCCAUUUCAAAAAUAACCCAGAAGUACUUCCAUCGGUAUCUAUCACAAUGGUCGUCAUUCUCACUCUGGGGCAUAUGAUCCCUUUGGUGCUCAAUUUUCAAGCUUUGUUUAGAAUAAGUGGCAGUCAAAAUGUUUUAUUGUGGAGCGGUGGGUGGCUUGAGGUAAAUGAGGUGAUAGUAAGGAUCAUGACAAUGGUAGCUUUCCUACUGCUAAUUCGUUUUCUUCAACUUUCAUGUACUGCAAGAUCAGCUGAUGAAGGCAAGAGGGAUCUGUGGACAGCAGAAAAAAAUUCUAUUAAAACAUGCUUACCUUUGUAUAUAGUUGGGGGGUUGACUGCCUGGUUCGUUCACAGAAUAUCUAAUCAAUCGGAAUUAAAAAGAAGACCACUUUAUGUUACCCAGCCUCAUCAUACUCUGUGGGGCGAUUUGAUGUCCUAUGCUGGCUUAAUACUUGAUGGAUUUUUGCUCCCACAGGUUCUAUUUAACAUAUUCUCUAGCUCCAAAUAUAAGGCUCUUUCUCCUUCCUUCUAUAUUGGAAAUACUAUUGUUCGAGCACUGCCCCAUGCAUAUGAUGCCUAUAGAAGUCACCAUUAUGUGCCUCGUUUCAAUUCAUCCUACAUGUAUGCUAGUCCAUACGAGGGAUUUUAUUCGUUGGUAUGGGAUAUCAUUAUUCCUUGCGGAGGACUGUUUCUUGCAGUACUCAUAUACUUACAGCAGCGGUUUGGUGGUACUUGUCUCUUUCCUUUUAGAAGUAGCAAGCCUAGGGCAUAUGAAUUAGUUCCUGUAGUGAGCUCUUCGAAUAUACAUUGUUAACAGUCACUGUAUAUCAAAUAUUGAUGGAGCUUUUCCCCAUCAAGUGACAAUUCUGUUUGGUUACUGUAAAGCUUUCAAUUGAUAAAUGUUAAACUGGACAUGUUUGUUCUGCCUCC